rnacentral:lncRNA from 10 species
GGGCUGGACAAUUCUCCUCUGUCUAAGCAGGGAGGAGGAUGAUUGCUGGAGGAUUGUAUUUGGCCAUCUUGCUCCACCUUCUCCUCUCAAUUCUCCAGACACAGCAAUCUUAAAGGUCCAGUUCAAUUUGCUGGAGAAUUUUACAAAAUGUUAUGAGAAGAAUUAACACCAAUUCUGCACUACCACUUUGAGAAUACAUAAGAGAUGUGCUUUUCACUUUCCACCGUGAUUUUGAGUCCUCCCUAUCCACGUGCAACUAUAAUCCCUACAACUUCUGGGAGAGGUGCAAGUAUCAACCAGUUGGAGACACAGGGAAAGGGUGAUAUAAUGCAGAAAGUGACUUGAACAAAUUUACACAGAAGGCAGUGAAGUGUGAUUCAAAUUCAAGCAGUCUAGACUGUGCCCCACACAACUCUGCAGCAUAACCUUGCAGUAUGAAAAUAAUGCCUCUCAUGCAGAUCAGGGAUAUGAGAUCCAGUGACUUACCCAAAGUUUCAAAGGAAAGAUGUAACAGAGCCAUCUCUGAACUUCUGCUCUUGGG